rnacentral:rRNA from 1 species
CUACGGGAUGAGCCUAUGUCGGAUUAGCUAGUUGGUAGGGUAAAGGCCUACCAAGGCAACGAUCCGUAGCUGGUCUGAGAGGAUGAUCAGCCACAUCGGGACUGAGACACGGCCCGAACUCCUACGGGAGGCAGCAGUGGGGAAUAUUGGACAAUGGGGGCAACCCUGAUCCAGCCAUGCCGCGUGUGUGAAGAAGGCCCUCGGGUUGUAAAGCACUUUCAGCGAGGAGGAACGCCUAGUGGUAAUACCCAUAGG